UAACAAGGUUUCCGUAGGUGAACCUGCGGAAGGAUCAUUAUCGUUGGGCUCCUGCCCAUUCGAGAUAACACCCUUGCCUUUUUGAGUACCUUUUCGUUUCCUCGGCAGGCACGCCUGCCAACGGGGACCCUUCAAAACGCUUUGUAAUACCUGUCAUUGUCUGAUAUAACAAGCAAAAAUCAAAACUUUCAACAACGGAUCUCUUGGUUCUGGCAUCGAUGAAGAACGCAGCGAAAUGCGAUAAGUAGUGUGAAUUGCAGAAUUCAGUGAAUCAUCGAAUCUUUGAACGCACAUUGCGCCCUUUGGUAUUCCUUAGGGCAUGCCUGUUCGAGCGUCAUUUAAACCUUCAAGCUCAGCUUGGUGAUGGGUGACUGUCCCCUCCCUUCGCGGGGGGACUCGCCUCAAAAACAUUGGCGGCCGGUACAUUGGCUUCGAGCGCAGCAGAAACGCGGUCUCGAGCCCGGUGGAUCGGCUCCCAUAAGCCUCAUUCUUUAUUUUGACCUCGGAUCAGGUAGGGAUACCCGCUGAACUUAAGCAUA
rnacentral:rRNA from 1 species